AAUAUUUUGUACUUGUAAAUCGGUUUUGUACUUGUAAAAAAGAUUUGUAUGCGUAAAAAAAAUUUGUGUGUGCGUAAAAAAGAUUUGUAUCUGUAAAAAAGAUUUGUGUGUGCGUAAAAAAGAUUUGUAUCUGUAAAAAAGAUUUGUGUGUGCGUAAAAAAGAUUUGUAUCUGUAAAAAAGAUUUGUGUGUGCGUAAAAAAGAUUUGUAUCUGUAAAAAAGAUUUGUGCGUGUGUAAAACAGAUUUGUGCGUGUGUAAAAAAGAUUUGUGUGUGGACUUAGCCAAAAAACCCCUGCAAGUUACAAGUACGAAUUUUGACCCUAUUUUUCUUCCUUUAAGCUGAUUGGUCAAUGUCAUGUCAAUCACAAAUUAAACAAUCCAAUCAGAGAACAGAUGGGCUUGGCUGUCGGGGGGGAUGCUUUACGGACCUUCAGGUCCUGGAAGGGUAACACAGUUUGAAGAUGGAGGACAGCGGUGGCGCUUCUGCAGCGCAGGAGCCAAAGACUGCAAUAGAGAAGGCUAUACUGAAUCUUGUGGGAAUUCUGUCAACUUCCCAGUCUGAUAUUAGGAGUGGAACUGCAACCACAUCUGUUACAGCGACAGUGCCUCAGCAAACCCCAAGAGUGAGCACCCAAAUAGAAAUGCAAAGGUCAUUUCCAGCAAUGUUUCAAAGAAGGCAAUCCAAAGGAAAGAGGCCUUUCCCAGCUCCUAGUAAUGUCAUACAUGCAGUUCGCAACAUUCAGUUGCAAUUCUGUCUUUUGCCUGAUUCCACGACAAAAACCCCAAAGAAUGAAAUACGGCUUCUUCAAGCUGGACUUGGAAGGCGAACUCUCAGCAUAGCUGACAA